CACGUGCUCCGGCGAAGUCGGCUCCACGUCUCGCGCCGGCCCCCUCCUUAUCCAUGAUCGUGUUGGCGCUUGAUUUUUCACUAGGUGACCUAGAUCUUCACUCAUCAACGAUGAAGAUGCAGGAGCAAGACGAGGUCUAAUCGGAGCGGCGGUUCCUGAGGCUUUGCUGGCGGCACUGGAUGGGGAUACGGCAAGGACGGAGAAGGCGGCCUCGACGACAUCUCCAACAACUACGCCAGCGGCUGCGGCGUGAUGGAGAAGGAGCAGGAGCCGCAGUCGCCACCGCAAUCUCUGCGUAGGCCAUGGGGUCGGUGAGGAUGCAGACGUGAAGAGGCCGGCGAAUACUGGAGUUCGUCCGCCGGCGGGUCCUCGAACCAAGGCGAGCGGCGGCCGCCUCAUCCGAUCGUAACCGCG